UACGUAGGGUGCAGGCGUUAAUCGGAAUUACUGGGCGUAAAGCGUGCGCAGGCGGUUUGCUAAGACAGGUGUGAAAUCCCCGGGCUUAACCUGGGAACUGCGCUUGUUACUGGCAGGCUUGAGUGUGGCAGAGGGGGGUGGAAUUCCACGUGUAGCAGUGAAAUGCGUAGAGAUGUGGAGGAACACCGAUGGCGAAGGCAGCCCCCUGGGCUACCACUGAUGCUCAUGCACGAAAGCGUGGGGAGCAAACAGG
rnacentral:rRNA from 1 species